GCCCUCGUGGUGGAACUGGGAUACACGCAGCGCUUAGGACGCUGUCCCGUUAAGGGUUGCAGGUUCAAAUCCUGCCGAGGGCA
rnacentral:tRNA from 1 species